rnacentral:tRNA from 1 species
CGGAGUGUAGCGCAGUUGGUAGCGCGCAUCGUUUGGGACGAUGAGGUCGUGGGUUCGAGCCCCACCACUCCGA